rnacentral:rRNA from 1 species
UACAGAGACCUCAAGCGUUAUCCGGAUUUACUGGGCGUAAAGGGUCCGCAGGUGGUUAUGUGCGUCGAUUGUUAAACCCUCGGGCUCAACCCGUGGACUGCCAUCGAUACGGUAUAACUUGAGGCCGGGAGAGGUAAGCGGAAUUGCCGGUGUAGUAGUAAUAUGCGUUAAUAUCGGCAAGAACACCAAAUGCGAAGGCAGCUUACUGGAACGCGCCUGACACUCAGGGACGAAAGCGUGGGGAGCGAAAGGG